GUGCUCACUUCGGCAGCACAUAUACCAAAAUUCGAACGAUACACAGAAUAUUAGCAUGGCCCCUGUGCAAAGAUGACAUGCAAAUUUGUGAUGCGUUCCAUAUUCUG